rnacentral:snoRNA from 1 species
UGGAGGACUGAGAAGGUGAGGCAGGUCUGCCCAUGCUGCCUUCCACCGGUUAAGACCUCCAAGAGAGAAGGGCUGCCCGGGCGGAGGAUGUCCCUCUGCCACUCUUGGAGGGACAGUGUUGCGCUGGCCGACAUCUG